AUAUUCGCGCAGAAGUCCGCCUGCGUCCUCCGACUAAGUUCAAAUCCACGAGGGAUACGGCUGAGCCUAAAACACAAAGACAACACAGCGACCCAGAGAGGCUCAGACAUAAGCUACUGUCCUUGGGUCGUGGGCCAGGUCAAAUACAAGAUGGAACAAAGAAAGAGAAAAGCUCCAUCUCCCUUCUCUGCUGGUUCUGAUGCAGGAAGUUGUGAAAUGACAGCAUGUACAAAGUCAUGGACCACAGAGCCACAAAGCAAG